ACAGUGCCGCCAGCAUUACCAGCAAGUUUGUCCCAUUAACACUAGCAGAUUUGUUUCUGCAUCACCAGCAAAUGUGUUCCUGGAUCACCAGCAGGCGUGUCCCAUCAACAUCAGAAGAUGUGUUCCAGCAUCACCAGCAGAUGUGUUCCAGCAUCACCAGCAGAUGUGUUCCAGCAUCACCAGCAGAUGUGUUCCAGCAUCACCAGCAGAUGUGUUCCAGCAUCACCAGCAGAUGUGUUAGAGCAAAUGUGUUCUAGGAUCACCAGCAGACGUAUAGAAAAUAUUAAAUGCAGCUCAGCACUAUGAUAUACCAAAACAAUGUGUGUAGUGUCUACAACAUUUUAAAUCCAGAAAAAGGCAAAAGUUUAUAUCAAUAAUACUAGUAAUAAAAUAAAAUAAAAUAAAUUAAAAGUAACAAAUUAACUCAUGUGCUGGAAUCUUUUUUUCUACCAUACGCUUUUGUGCAAACUGGAUAUUGGGUAAAGAGGUGAUAGCAUAGUUUGAAAGGUGAAGGAACACGUGGGACACAUAUUUAUAAUUGGGAGUGAUUGUGGAGCACAAAUAUAAAA